rnacentral:rRNA from 1 species
AUGCCUAAUACAUGCAAGUCGAGCGAAUGGAUUGAGAGCUUGCUCUCAAGAAGUUAGCGGCGGACGGGUGAGUAACACGUGGGUAACCUGCCCAUAAGACUGGGAUAACUCCGGGAAACCGGGGCUAAUACCGGAUAACAUUUUGAACUGCAUGGUUCGAAAUUGAAAGUGCGGCUUCGGCUGUCACUUAUGGAUGGACCCGCGUCGCAUUAGCUAGUUGGUGAGGUAACGGCUCACCAAGGCAACGAUGCGUAGCCGACCUGAGAGGGUGAUCGGCCACACUGGGACUGAGACACGGCCCAGACUCCUACGGGAGGCAGCAGUAGGGAAUCUUCCGCAAUGGACGAAAGUCUGACGGAGCAACGCCGCGUGAGUGAUGAAGGCUUUCGGGUCGUAAAACUCUGUUGUUAGGGAAGAACAAGUGCUAGUUGAAUAAGCUGGCACCUUGACGGUACCUAACCAGAAAGCCACGGCUAACUACGUGCCACAGCCGCGGUAAUACCGUAAGGUGGCAAAGCGUUAUCCC